UACGAAGGAUCCAAGCGUUGUCCGGAUUUACUGGGUUUAAAGGGUGCGUAGGCGGGGAAUUAAGUCAGUGGUGAAAGCUGGUAGCUCAACUAUCAAAUUGCCAUUGAAACUGAUUUUCUUGAGUGCGGUUGAGGUCACUGGAAUGUAACAUGUAGCGGUGAAAUGCUUAGAUAUGUUACAGAACACCGAUUGCGAAGGCAGGUGACUAAACCGUAACUGACGCUGAGGCACGAAAGCGUGGGGAUCAAACAGG
rnacentral:rRNA from 1 species